rnacentral:rRNA from 1 species
GAUGAACGCUGGCGGCGUGCCUAAUACAUGCAAGUCGAGCGAACGGACGAGAAGCUUGCUUCUCUGAUGUUAGCGGCGGACGGGUGAGUAACACGUGGAUAACCUACCUAUAAGACUGGGAUAACUUCGGGAAACCGGAGCUAAUACCGGAUAAUAUUUUGAACCGCAUGGUUCAAAAGUGAAAGACGGUCUUGCUGUCACUUAUAGAUGGAUCCGCGCUGCAUUAGCUAGUUGGUAAGGUAACGGCUUACCAAGGCAACGAUGCAUAGCCGACCUGAGAGGGUGAUCGGCCACACUGGAACUGAGACACGGUCCAGACUCCUACGGGAGGCAGCAGUAGGGAAUCUUCCGCAAUGGGCGAAAGCCUGACGGAGCAACGCCGCGUGAGUGAUGAAGGUCUUCGGAUCGUAAAACUCUGUUAUUAGGGAAGAACAUAUGUGUAAGUAACUGUGCACAUCUUGGCGGUACCUAAUCAGAAAGCCACGGCUAACUACGUGCCAGCAGCCGCGGUAAUACGUAGGUGGCAAGCGUUAUCCGGAAUUAUUGGGCGUAAAGCGCGCGUAGGCGGUUUUUUAAGUCUGAUGCGAAAGCCCACGGCUCAACCGUGGAGGGUCAUUGGAAACUGGAAAACUUGAGUGCAGAAGAGGAAAGUGGAAUUCCAUGUGUAGCGGUGAAAUGCGCAGAGAUAUGGAGGAACACCAGUGGCGAAGGCGACUUUCUGGUCUGUAACUGACGCUGAUGUGCGAAAGCGUGGGGAUCAAACAGGAUUAGAUACCCUGGUAGUCCACGCCGUAAACGAUGAGUGCUAAGUGUUAGGGGGUUUCCGCCCCUUAGUGCUGCAGCUAACGCAUUAAGCACUCCGCCUGGGGAGUACGACCGCAAGGUUGAAACUCAAAGGAAUUGAUGGGGACCCGCACAAGCGGUGGAGCAUGUGGUUUAAUUCGAAGCAACGCGAAGAACCUUACCAAAUCUUGACAUCCUUUGACAACUCUAGAGAUAGAGCCUUCCCCUUCGGGGGACAAAGUGACAGGUGGUGCAUGGUUGUCGUCAGCUCGUGUCGUGAGAUGUUGGGUUAAGUCCCGCAACGAGCGCAACCCUUAAGCUUAGUUGCCAUCAUUAAGUUGGGCACUCUAAGUUGACUGCCGGUGACAAACCGGAGGAAGGUGGGGAUGACGUCAAAUCAUCAUGCCCCUUAUGAUUUGGGCUACACACGUGCUACAAUGGACAAUACAAAGGGCAGCGAAACCGCGAGGUCAAGCAAAUCCCAUAAAGUUGUUCUCAGUUCGGAUUGUAGUCUGCAACUCGACUACAUGAAGCUGGAAUCGCUAGUAAUCGUAGAUCAGCAUGCUACGGUGAAUACGUUCCCGGGUCU